GUAGGGACCAAGCGUUGUUCGGAUUUACUGGGCGUAAAGGGCGCGUAGGCGGCAAUUCAAGUCAGCUGUGAAAUCUCCGGGCUUAACUCGGAACGGUCAGCUGAUACUGCUUUGCUAGAGUGCAGAAGGGGCAAUCGGAAUUCUUGGUGUAGCGGUGAAAUGCGUAGAUAUCAAGAGGAACACCUGAGGUGAAGACGGGUUGCUGGGCUGACACUGACGCUGAGGCGCGAAAGCUAGGGUAGCAAACGGGAUUAGAUACCCCGGUAGUCCUAGCCCUAAACGAUGAAUACUUGGUGUCUGGAGUUUUUAUCCUCCGGGUGCCGUCGCUAACGUUUUAAGUAUUCCGCCUGGGGAGUACGCACGCAAGUGUGAA
rnacentral:rRNA from 1 species